GUUGAACGCUGGCGGCGUGCUUAACACAUGCAAGUCGAACGGAAACAGGAUGCUGUUUGUGGUUUCGCUGUUGGGGGGCGGGUGGGUGAGACAUGACUGGGAAACUCUUUGAUGGAGGGGGACAACUAGGGGAAAGGGAUGCUAAUGACGAAGAACGUCGGAAGAGUGAGGGGGGGGAGCAAGUGGCGGCUUGUGAGCGGGUGUGCCCAGAUGGGAUUAGCUUGUUGGGGGGGGUACGGCUCAACAAGGUGACGAGCCGUAGCUGGUCGGAGAGGAGGAUCAGCCACACUGGAACUGAGACACGGUCCAGACUCCUACGGGAGGCAGCAGUGGGGAAUGUUGGACAAUGGGCGCAAGCCUGAUACAGCCAUGCCGCGUGUGUGAAGAAGGCCUUCGGGUUGUAAAGAACUUUCAGUGGGGAAGAACGGAUUUGGGCUAAUACCUUGGCUGAUUGACGGUACCGGCAGAAGAAGCACCGGCUAACUACGUG
rnacentral:rRNA from 1 species